GCUGAUGUAGCUCAGUCGGUAGAGCACUCCCUUGGUAAGGGAGAGGUCGUCGGUUCAAUCCCGAUCAUCAGCUCCA
rnacentral:tRNA from 2 species